UCAUCGCGUACAAAUCGGNCUUAAGAGUUUGAUCCUGGCUCACAGAGAGUUAUGGCGGCGUGCCUAGAUACAUGCAAGUCGAGCGAACAGAAACAGGAGCUUGCUCCUUUGACGUUAGCGGCGGACGGGUGAGUAACACGUGGGCAGCCUACCUUAUAGUUUGGGAUAACUCCGGGAAACCGGGGCUAAUACCGAAUAAUCUAUUUUACUUCAUGGUGAAAUACUGAAAGACGGUUUCGGCUGUCGCUAUAAGAUGGGCCCGCGGCGCAUUAGCUAGUUGGUGAGGUAACGGCUCACCAAGGCAACGAUGCGUAGCCGACCUGAGAGGGUGAUCGGCCACACUGGGACUAGAGACACGGCCCAGACUCCUACGGGAGGCAGCAAGUAGGGAAUCUNUACCAACAAAUAGGGGGCGAAAGCCUAGAUAGGAAGCAACGGACCCGCCGGUGAAGUUAGAANGNAAG
rnacentral:rRNA from 1 species